rnacentral:lncRNA from 1 species
CGGCCCAGUGACUAUCUUACACCCUGGGCACCUCUUAGUCAGUUGGUGAGCCGUUUUCCCUCUUUCUUUUAUUUUAUCACAGAGUUCUAAAAUCCAUAAAUAAUUAUUUAUAACUCCAAAUCUGAUGAUGCAAAUUUCUACAGGUUGCUAAAAUCAAGACCAAUCCAUAUAUGUGCAUUGCACAUUUUUCAUAAAGACUUUUCUAUGGGGUUAAUAUUCAAAUGCCCAUUUGAAUAUUUUAAACACCACCUUUCAAAAAUCCUAGAGGAUUCAAAUCAACUCCAAAUGGAGUGAAUCCAAUUUCCACAGUCUUCUUAUAUCAUGCACUAUUUUUGGAGCACUAGUCAACAUUUUUAUCUGGCAUGCUUCUGUUACAUUAAACAAAUAACUCCUUUCUGCUAUUUAUUCCAUGUUUUAAAAUCCCUAGGAUAUUCAUAUCAACUCCAAAUCCACUAAAACAACUUCCUAAAUAUUUCUAAAUUCAUGCUCUCUUUAUUGAGUGCCUCCACUAAUUUUUAACAGAAUGAUUUCUGUAGGCUUGUUUAAGGAUCACCUAUUCCUCCUUUUGUCCAUUCAAAAUCCUUGAUGGUCCAAAUCUCCUAGAUCAAGCUUCAGGUAUUUUUCUUAUGACCAGAGAGGUCCAAGCAAAAUAAAACUUCCAUUUAUAUAGAACUUUUGUUCUGCUUGCCGUGUGGCUUACUGUGAUUGUUUCCGACGAUAGUUGACGGGUAGACGGAAUACUCGGAGUUGGACCGGAAGACCUCGAAGACCCCGAGGACUUAUGUGAGCAAGGCAAGCAGCCCUUUGACCAUGUCUAAGAAAUACUUCUAUCCAUGACACAUUAGUUACUCUACUCCGAUGCAUAUAGUUAAGAAUGAUCGGUGGACCCCAGCAUGGUGUUUCCGAUAGCUCCUCUAGAGCACUUGCGUUGAGCAUGACCCUAUCAUUUAUGAGGGUCACGCUGAUAAUAUGUUGACAAGUAGACAGUAGUGCUACGCAUAGAAAGAGCAUGUGCAUGAUGAUGGUAACACAGAGUUGAUAUCAAAGGUUUUAUGAAAACCCCGUCGGGUGCCACUAAUGCCUGAGGGUGAUGAUGUUGAGUUGGGUGACCACUUGUGAAAGAAGUUGUGCACCGGGAAUAUUUUGUGUGAGUGGCUUCAGAAAUGGGAUUAGAUUUAUGAUGUGUCGACCGUCCCAACCUUACAUAUACGACCACGAUGCCCCUUUAUGGGACGGGGCUUUGUUGAUUACUUUGGUCGGUGCUAGCAAAAAGCCACAUUACUAGUGGCGGGAGUGAUAUGUGGUCACUCGUGACGGGGUCGUACCAGGUAGGUCGACUAUGCCGUUUUUACGUGUUCCGGGCACACCGUUGGUCCCCGCAUGGAUGAUACGGUCUAGAGUUGGUGCUCGUAAGACGUACAUCAUGUGGGCUGGGUACCAAUCGAGUGAACUCUUUGUCUAGUAUCGUCAGGGGAAAGGCAAUGAUCGGGUACUUACCUCGGGUAUGUUAUAUACCGCGAGUCGUGGAUGACACGGAAAUUUCCUAGAUCUCGUGGGUACAGCGUACAACCUCUGUAGAGUGUAAAACUAUUCGAAUAGCCGUGUCCACGGUCAAGGAUAGUUGGGUAAUCCUGCUUAAACUACGUAUAGUCGUUUCCGCAUAAACCAAGUGUGUGUGUGUGUGUGUNN